GAUGAACGCUAGCGGCAGGCCUAAUACAUGCCAGUCGGACGGGAUCCAUUGAUAGCUUGCUAUCAAUGGUGAGAGUGGCGCACGGGUGCGUAACGCGUGAGCAACCUGCCUCCAUCAGGGGGAUAGCCUCUCGAAAGAGAGAUUAACACCGCAUAAUAUCAACAGUUCGCAUGUUCAGUUGAUUAAAUAUUUAUAGGAUGGAGAUGGGCUCGCGUGACAUUAGCUAGUUGGUAGGGUAACGGCUUACCAAGGCGACGAUGUCUAGGGGCUCUGAGAGGAGAAUCCCCCACACUGGUACUGAGACACGGACCAGACUCCUACGGGAGGCAGCAGUAAGGAAUAUUGGUCAAUGGGCGGAAGCCUGAACCAGCCAUGCCGCGUGCAGGAGGACUGCCCUAUGGGUUGUAAACUGCUUUUGUCCAGGAAUAAACCUAAAUACGAGUAUUUAGCUGAAUGUACUGGAAGAAUAAGGAUCGGCUAACUCCGUG
rnacentral:rRNA from 1 species